rnacentral:rRNA from 1 species
AUUGAACGCUGGCGGCAUGCCUUACACAUGCAAGUCGAACGGCAGCACGGGUGCUUUCACCUGGUGGCGAGUGGCGAACGGGUGAGUAAUACAUCGGAACAUGUCCUGUAGUGGGGGAUAGCCCGGCGAAAGCCGGAUUAAUACCGCAUACGAUCUACGGAUGAAAGCGGGGGACCUUCGGGCCUCGCGCUAUAGGGUUGGCCGAUGGCUGAUUAGCUAGUUGGUGGGGUAAAGGCCUACCAAGGCGACGAUCAGUAGCUGGUCUGAGAGGACGACCAGCCACACUGGAACUGAGACACGGCCCAGACUCCUACGGGAGGCAGCAGUGGGGAAUUUUGGACAAUGGGCGAAAGCCUGAUCCAGCAAUGCCGCGUGUGUGAAGAAGGCCUUCGGGUUGUAAAGCACUUUUGUCCGGAAAGAAAUACUUGGCCCUAAUACGGUCGGGGGAUGACGGUACCGGAAGAAUAAGCACCGGCUAACUACGUG